rnacentral:rRNA from 1 species
GAUGAACGCUGGCGGCGUGCUUAACACAUGCAAGUCGAACGGCAACGCUCUGGUAAGCUGGGUUGCUCGAGUCGCGAACGGGCGAGCAGCACGGGAGUAACCUGCCAUUGACUUUGGUACAACGGCAGGAAACUGCGGCUAAUACCGGAUAGGAGCGCCUGCUGCAUGGUGGGGGUGGGAAAGUUUCGGCGGUUGUGUAUGGAUUCGCGGCUUAUGAGUUUGUUUGUGGGGUAGUCGCUGACCAAGGCUUCGACGGGUAGCCGGCCUCAGAGGGUGACCGGCCCCCUUGGGACUGUGCUACGGCCCAGAGUAGUACGGGAGACAGGAGUAGGGAAUAUUGCCCAAUCGGCCGAAGUCUGGUGCAGCAACGCCGCGUGCGGGAUGACGGCCUUCUGGUUGUAAACAGCUUUCCGCUGUGCCGAAGCGUGAGUGCCGGUAACGGCAAAAGAAGCACCGGCUAACUACGUG